rnacentral:rRNA from 1 species
UACGGAGGGUCCGAGCGUUAUCCGGAUUUAUUGGGUUUAAAGGGUGCGCAGGCGGGAGAUUAAGUCGGCGGUGAAAUUUUGCAGCUCAACUGUAAAAGUGCCUUCGAUACUGGUUUCCUUGAGUGUGGAUGAAGUAGGCGGAAUUUGUGGUGUAGCGGUGAAAUGCUUAGAUAUCACGAGGAACUCCGAUUGCGCAGGCAGCUUACUAAACUACUACUGACGCUCAGGCACGAAGGCGUGGGGAUCAAACAGGAUUAGAUACCCCGGUAGUCCCU